CCGAGUUGGGACGAUAUCAGUCAACAGAGAUUCACUGAGCACCUACUAUGUGCCAGGCACUAGGGACAGCACAGUGGGAAAGACUGGCGUGAUCCCCAUCUCGGGGAAUGUGGAGCCUCAGGGGAGAAGGCAAACAUUAACCAGAUUGCGAAAGCUCCCGUCUGUGGUCUUGGGUCCAUGGUCACCCGAUGGGCCUCCCACUCCUGCUGCUGCACAGAAGACGUCCUCGGGAGGGGCGCCCUCGGGUCCCGCAGAGUCAUCCCUUCCGGGAGAGGUGCUCGGGCGAGAGAGCACUGCUGUUCCUGCCCUAAGUCCCUGGCACCUCAUCAAAUGCCAGCUCAGCUUCCAGCUAUGCACUCCCUCCCGGCCAUCUCCUGUUUUGGUGUCCUCUGGGCUGCCCCUCCGGGUGUCCAUGAGUCACAGAGCUGCUCCAGAAACUCCUGGUCCCGCUCCGGGCUGAGAAGAGAAUUCCGUUCACAACAAACAAAUUCCGGGGAAGCGGGAGCCCCAGCGGUUGACAACGCAUACAAAUGAUUGCAGUUUGACGUCCCUGCUGGAGUGUGAGCCCAUUGUGACCCUCACCGCCGGUCGUGUCUUUCACACGUAAGGGUGAAUUUGUCCCAGACCAAUUCGCUGAACGAGGUUCUCCGUGGGACCUGGCGGUGGGCCUGUGGGACAGAGCACCCUCCCUGGAGGGGCACCAAGGCUGUAUGGACCCCCCUCGGCCCCCUUAUUGUGGGUCAUCUCCCUGAGGUACCACAGAUAAGUCCUGAAGAUCCCCCUUUCCCAAAGAGCCUUUUCCCGGAACGCUAAUGUGUUUUGUUUUGUUUUGU